GUAGGUGAACCUGCGGAGGGAUCAAGAGAGAGUUUUCAACUCCCUAACCCUUCUGUGAACCUACCUAUCGUUGCUUCGGCGGACUCGCCCCAGCCCGGACGCGGACUGGACCAGCGGCCCGCCGGGGACCUCAAACUCUUGUAUUCCAGCAUCUUCUGAAUACGCCGCAAGGCAAAACAAAUGAAUCAAAACUUUCAACAACGGAUCUCUUGGCUCUGGCAUCGAUGAAGAACGCAGCGAAACGCGAUAAGUAAUGUGAAUUGCAGAAUCCAGUGAAUCAUCGAAUCUUUGAACGCACAUUGCGCCCGCCAGCAUUCUGGCGGGCAUGCCUGUUCGAGCGUCAUUUCAACCCUCGACCUCCCCUUGGGGGGGUCGGCGUUGGGGACCGGCAGCACACCGCCGGCCCUGAAAUGGAGUGGCGGCCCGUCCGCGGCGACCUCUGCGCAGUAAUACAGCUCGCACCGGAACCCCGACGCGGCCACGCCGUAAAACACCCAACUUCUGAACGUUGACCUCGAAUCAGGUAGGACUACCCGCUGAACUUAAGCAUAUCAAUAAGCGGAGGA
rnacentral:rRNA from 1 species